CCUACGGGCGGCAGCAGUGAGGAAUAUUGGUCAAUGGGCGCGAGCCUGAACCAGCCAAGUAGCGUGAAGGAUGACUGCCCUACGGGUUGUAAACUUCUUUUAUAAAGGAAUAAAGUGCGGCACGUGUGCCUUUUUGUAUGUACUUUAUGAAUAAGGAUCGGCUAACUCCGUGCCAGCAGCCGCGGUAAUACGGAGGUUCCGAGCGUUAUCCGGAUUUAUUGGGUUUAAAGGGAGCGUAGAUGGGUUGUUAAGUCAGUUGUGAAAGUUUGCGGCUCAACCGUAAAAUUGCAAUUGAUACUGGCAGGCUUGAGUACAGUUGAGGUAGGCGGAAUUCGUGGUGUAGCGGUGAAAUGCUUAGAUAUCACGAAGAACUCCGAUUGCGAAGGCAGCUUACUAAACUGCAACUGACAUUGCUGCUCGAAAGUGUGGGUAUCAAACAGGAUUAGAUACCCGGGUAGUC
rnacentral:rRNA from 1 species